UCUAAUUCUUUAUGAUUAUUCAUAAUAACAAUUAUUGUUAUUAUUUUUUUUUUUUUUUUUGGCAAAUAGAUAUUUUAUUUUAUUUACCAAAUCGAGAUCUUACAAUGACACCCAUACACCAAAGCAACAAAACCAUAGAACAACACAACUACAACACCUAGGUACAAAGCUUACGUAGCUCUACCAGCAACAUGAAACAAAACUCUAUUGGCAACAACUAAAACAGGCUCAAGCUGGUUGUUGAACAAUUUGGCAUUUCUCUGAAUCCAAACUGCAUAAACAGUUUCAACAAAAGCAAUAUUGCACUUGAUAUCUCUCAGCUUGGUGCUCCUACUCUUCUUUGCAGCCCAUCUUUAUUCAUUCUGCCAGCAGAUCUAGAACCCCUCUACAAAUACCAAGCUUUUGCAGAAUGAUGAGUGACAUUUAUGUCACUCAUAGGGUACUAGGUAAGUGACUGUUCAAGGUUCAAGGUUCAAGGUUCAAGGUUCAAGGUUCAAGUCAAUUGCUUAGGUUGGUCAAGAAAAGUCAACUUUGGGCUUGAAAACAACAAAACAAGGCAAGCAGUUAUCAUACACCGCACUCCUUAUCCUGCACCACACCUAUUCUCACGCAUAACCUCCAAGCAGCGCAGCAGCACCUCACCUACACCACUCAUACUAGCACCAAGCUCCAACAACACUCCACCACACCACCACCAACAAUGCAUCAACAAACAAGGCCAAAGCAACACCAAAAAUCGCACAAAACAGAGAAAAUACAGAGCAAUUCGGGUUCGACCGAACCCGUACUACGGUUCGACCGAACCGAAAAUUUAGAGCUCCUGAUUGUAUGAGGUUCGGUCGAACCUCCUUUGAGUUCGCCCAAACCAGCAAUUAAGUUCGCCCGAACCUUUUCGGGUUCGACCGAACAUUUGAUCGCGAAUUUCUGUACGGAAUUAAUGAAGCUCGACGGUUGUGAUUGUUCGAUGACCAUCCGACGGCCUCAAUUUGGCUGCGAUUAAUUGAUGGAGGCCGUUGAUGAACAAUGAUGAUUGAAGAUGGAACGAUGAUAGAUGAUGAUUAGCCGUGUGAUUAGGAAUCGGAAGCCCAAGAUUGAAUUCAGAUGUUGAUGAUUGUUGAUUGAUGAAGAUGUAUGGUGGAUGAUGAUCGGUGGUUGAUGACGAUGGUGCAGCGAAUCGAAAAUGGAAGACGAAAGAAAGGAAAAGGAAGGACAAGGGGGGUUCUGAUUAGUUUUGUUUUUGAUUUGAUUUUAUUAUUAUUUGAUUUUUCUUCCUUUUUCUAUUUCCCUUCUUAUCUUUUCUCUUUUCUCUCCCUUCUGAUUUUCCUUUUUAUUUUUGUUUUGUUUCCAUUUUUUUUUCUUUCUUUAUUUAAUUUCCUUUUUAUUUUAUUUCAUUCCUUUUUGUUUUAUUUUUCUUUUCUUCUUUUAUUUCUUUCUUUUAACUUGUAGUAUAAAUACCCAAUUUUUGGGGACAAAAGUAUUACCAUGGACAUAAUUAGCGUAGUUCUCUCUUUACUUAGGGUUUAGGGUUUUCAUUAGUCUAGUUCCUAAGAGAGAAAAAGUGAGGAAAAAUCAAUGCAAAAUUGGCGCUUUUCAAUUUCAAGGGAUUACAACUUGUUUUUGACGAUCAACCAGUUAAUCAAUGAGAAAUUUCUUA